rnacentral:rRNA from 1 species
GGUCAAGUGAAUAAGCGCAUACGGUGAAUGCCUAGGCAGUAAGAGGCGAAGAAGGACGUUGUAGCAUGCGAUAAGCUGCGGGGAGUUUGCAAACAAACUUUGAUCCGCAGAUUUCCGAAUGGGGAAACCCAAUGGGCACAAGCUCAUUAUCUUGCUCUGAAUACAUAGGAGUAAGAGGCGAACCGGGAGAACUGAAACAUCUAAGUACCCCGAGGAAAAGAAAUCAACCGAGAUUCCCUAAGUAGUGGCGAGCGAACGGGGACCAGCCCUUAAGCAUUUAGCAAGUUAGUAGAACAGUCUGGAAAGUCUGGCGAUACAGCGUGAUAGCCGCGUAUACGAAAACUUAUUAAGUGUGAAAUCGAGUAGGUCGGAGCACGUGAAACUUUGACUGAACAUGGGGGACCAUCCUCCAAGGCUAAAUACUCCUUACUGACCGAUAGUGAACCAGUACCGUGAGGGAAAGGCGAAAAGAACCCCGGAGAGGGGAGUGAAAUAGAUCCUGAAACCGUAUGCGUACAAGCAGUGGGAGCCCCGCACCUAAAUUGUUUUGGGCGGAGACUCUUCAGCGUUAACUUAACGUCAUCGAACACUGAGCGAUAGUGCCUAAAUAAGGAAUUUAGGUGCGGGGCAGGCCCCGCUAUGAUGACAAAAAAUAACAAAGAAGAGACUUGAGAUCGAAUGUAUUAUGCUUAUGUGCUUCAAUCGGAAGCAGAAGAUGAUAGGUUUUACCUGGGAAGUACGACGGAUUUAAAACGUCGUAUGCAAGAACAUGACCAAGGUAAAAAUAAGUCGACGAGAGGAUAUCAAUGGAAAUUGGUGUACUACGAAGCUUAUCUAUCUGAAGCCGCAUCUAGAGAACGAGAACAUAAACUCAAGCAAGACGGUCGAGCCAAACGGUUCUUAAUGCAGCGCAUUAAGACGAGUUUAAAAACAACUUAGGGGCUUGCCCCGCACCUAAAUUCCCAAUUAGAUGCGAGGUAAGUCAAUGAAUCACAGUGCUCAAUAAAGCAUUGUAGAUAUCCGUGCCAGAAUAAUUUAGGUGCGGGGUGACUGCGUACCUUUUGUAUAAUGGGUCAGCGACUUACAUUUUGUGGCCAGCUUAACCGACUAGGGGAGGCGUAGCGAAAGCGAGUCUUAAUAGGGCGUUUAGUCGCAAGGUGUAGACCCGAAACCGGGCGAUCUAUCCAUGGCCAGGUUGAAGAUCAGGUAAUACUGAUUGGAGGACCGAACCCACUUAUGUUGAAAAAUGAGGGGAUGAGCUGUGGAUCGGAGUGAAAGGCUAAUCAAGCCCGGAGAUAGCUGGUUCUCCUCGAAAGCUAUUUAGGUAGCGCCUCGUGUAUGACUGCUGGGGGUAGAGCACUGUUUCGGCUAGGGGGUCAUCCCGACUUACCAACCCGAUGCAAACUCCGAAUACCAGCAAGUUUGAGCACGGGAGACACACGGCGGGUGAUAAGGUCCGUCGUGGAAAGGGAAACAGCCCAGACCGUCAGCUAAGGUCCCCAAAUCUAUGCUCAGUGGAAAACGAUGUGAGAAGGCCCAGACAGCCAGGAGGUUGGCUUAGAAGCAGCCAUCCUUUAAAGAAAGCGUAAUAGCUCACUGGUCGAGUCGGCUUGCGCGGAAGAUUUACCGGGGCUAAGCAUAGUACCGAAGCUACGGAUUCAGACAACGUCUGAGUGGUAGAGGAGCGUUCUGUACGCCUGCGAAGGGAAGUUGAGAAGCUUCCUGGAGGUAUCAGAAGUGCGAAUGCUGACAUGAGUAACGAUAAUGGAGGUGAAAAACCUCCACGCCGAAAGCCCAAGGUUUCCUGCGCAACGUUAAUCGACGCAGGGUUAGUCGGCACCUAAGGCGAGGCCGAAAGGCGUAGUCGAUGGAAAACAGGUUAAUAUUCCUGUACUUGUUAUAACUGCGAUGGGGUGACGGAGAAGGCUAGGUCAGCUGCCUGUUGGAAUAGGUAGUUUAAGCGUGUAGGGAGUGAAAUUAGGCAAAUCCGGUUUCACAAUCCUGAGGCGUGACGACGAGUCUCUUUAUAAGGAGACGAAGUGAUUGAUGCCCUGCUUCCAAGAAAACCCUCUAAGCUUCAGGUUAUGACGAGCCGUACCCCAAACCGACACAGGUGGGUGGGAUGAGAAUUCUAAGGCGCUUGAGAGAACUCGGGUGAAGGAACUAGGCAAAAUGGUACCGUAACUUCGGGAGAAGGUACGCCCUUGUUAGGUGAAGGCCCUGCGGCUGGAGCUGAAGAGGGUAGCAUUAAACUGGUGGCUGCGACUGUUUAGCAAAAACAUAGCACUCUGCAAACACGAAAGUGGACGUAUAGGGUGUGACGCCUGCCCGGUGCCGGAAGGUUAAUUGAUGGGGUUACCCCUCACCUAGAUUAUUUAGAGCCAUGUAUUACGUUUACGUGCUGUAUAGUCGGACGGAAGAUGAAUUUUAUCUGGGUUCGACGAUUGAUUUAAAAAAACGUCUGCGCCAACACAGGCAAGGCGAGAACAAAUCGACAAAA